rnacentral:rRNA from 1 species
UUCGAUUCUGGCUCGAGAGCGAACGCUGGCGGCAGGCUUAACACAUGCAAGUCGAACGCCCCGCAAGGGGAGUGGCGCAAGGGUGAGUAAUGCGUGGGAAUCUGCCUCAAGGUACGGAAUAACUGCUGGAAACGGCAGCUAAUACCGUAUGUGCUCCACGGAGCAAAGCUUCGGCGCCUUGAGAUGAGCCCACGUCCGAUUAGCUAGUUGGUGGGGUAACGGCCUACCAAGGCGACGAUCGGUAGCUGGUCUGAGAGGAUGGUCAGCCACACUGGGACUGAGACACGGCCCAGACUCCUACGGGAGGCAGCAGUGGGGAAUAUUGGACAAUGGGCGCAAGCCUGAUCCAAGCCAUGCCGCGUGAGUGAAGAAGGCCUUAGGGUUGUAAAGCUCUUUCAGCGGGGACGAUGAUGACGGUACCCGCAGAAGAAGCCCCGGCUAACUCCGUGCCAGCCGCUGC